UACGUAGGGGGCUAGCGUUGCCCGGAAUCAUUGGGCGUAAAGCGCGUGUAGGCGGUUCGGUAAGUCCGCUGUGAAAGUCGGGGGCUCAACCCUCGGAUGCCGGUGGAUACUGUCGGACUAGAGUACGGAAGAGGCGAGUGGAAUUCCUGGUGUAGCGGUGAAAUGCGCAGAUAUCAGGAAGAACACCCGUGGCGAAGGCGGCUCUCUGGGACGGUACUGACGCUGAGACGCGAAAGCGUGGGGAGCGAACAGG
rnacentral:rRNA from 1 species